UUUGCCCAUCCAGAGUCGUUUGUCAAGCUCGGACUGGUCUUUUUUGGCGCCGUGCUUGACAGACGACUCUGGCUGGGUUAAG